AAGCCAAACUGGUAUUAUAAUAUGAAUUUUCCCUAACCUAAUUAAUAUUGAAGUGGAAAUGUAAUUGAAUCGGGACAUUGUGAAUCGGAAUGGAAUCGGGAAACUUUUGGCAAUACCCGGCCCUAGUA